UACGUAGGGCGCAAGCGUUGUCCGGAAUUAUUGGGCGUAAAGAGCUCGUAGGCGGCUUGUCACGUCGGAUGUGAAAGCCCGGGGCUUAACUCCGGGUCUGCAUUCGAUACGGGCUGGCUAGAGUGUGGUAGGGGAGAUCGGAAUUCCUGGUGUAGCGGUGGAAUGCGCAGAUAUCAGGAGGAACACCAAUAGCGAAGGCAGCUCGCUGGGACGUUACUGACACUGAGGCGCGAAAGCGUGGGGAGCGAACAGG
rnacentral:rRNA from 1 species